rnacentral:RNase_P_RNA from 1 species
GGUGAGUGGUGGUCCGCCGCCGGGGACGUGUUCCCCGGAGGAACCUCCCGACUCCCAGCCCUUUAACAGGGCAACGCUGCCCGGCGAAAUCAGAAGCCGGGGCGUCAGGGGAGAAAUCCCCUGAUGACCACAACCGCAACAGAGAGCAGACCCGCCAGCGGCCCUUUUAAAGGGUGCGGGUGAGGGGUGAAACGGUGGGGUAAGAGCCCACCAGCAGCCGCAGUAAUGCGGCUGGCUAGGCGAGUGUGCGGCGGGGAGCAAGGCCAGAGGGCCUGGCUAAGGCCGAAAGCCUGGCUGGGUCUGGCCGCAGCGGUGACGGCGAUGGUGGGUAACGCCCACCUAGCUAGGAGCCGCCGGGGUUGAAUCCCCGAGACCGAUGGCGGACGUGAACAGAAUCGGGGGUACGACCACUCGCCGAAG